AGAGCGAACGCUGGCGGCAGGCCUAACACAUGCAAGUCGAACGGACUCUUCGGAGUUAGUGGCGGACGGGUGAGUAACACGUGGGAACGUGCCUUUUGGUUCGGAAUAGCUCCUGGAAACGGGUGGUAAUGCCGAAUGUGCCCUUCGGGGGAAAGAUUUAUCGCCAUUAGAGCGGCCCGCGUCUGAUUAGCUAGUUGGUGAGGUAAAGGCUCACCAAGGCGACGAUCAGUAGCUGGUCUGAGAGGAUGACCAGCCACAUUGGGACUGAGACACGGCCCAAACUCCUACGGGAGGCAGCAGUGGGGAAUCUUGCGCAAUGGGCGAAAGCCUGACGCAGCCAUGCCGCGUGAAUGAUGAAGGUCUUAGGAUUGUAAAAUUCUUUCACCGGGACGAUAAUGACGUACCCGGAGAAGAAGCCCGGCUAACUUCGUGCCAGCACGCCGC
rnacentral:rRNA from 1 species